AGUGAACGCUGGCGGUAGGCCUAACACAUGCAAGUCGAACGGCAGCACAGUAAGAGCUUGCUCUUACGGGUGGCGAGUGGCGGACGGGUGAGGAAUACAUCGGAAUCUACUUUUUCGUGGGGGAUAACGUAGGGAAACUUACGCUAAUACCGCAUACGACCUACGGGUGAAGGCAGGGGAUCUUCGGACCUUGCGCGAUUGAAUGAGCCGAUGUCGGAUUAGCUAGUUGGCGGGGUAAAGGCCCACCAAGGCGACGAUCCGUAGCUGGUCUGAGAGGAUAAUCAGCCACACUGGAACUGAGACACGGUCCAGACUCCUACGGGAGGCAGCAGUGGGGAAUAUUGGACAAUGGGCGCAAGCCUGAUCCAGCCAUACCGCGUGGGUGAAGAAGGCCUUCGGGUUGUAAAGCCCUUUUGUUGGGAAAGAAAAGCAGCAGGUUAAUACCCCGCUGUUCUGACGGUACCCAAAGAAUAAGCACCGGCUAACUUCGUG
rnacentral:rRNA from 1 species